rnacentral:rRNA from 1 species
UACGUAGGGUGCAAGCGUUGUCCGGAAUUAUUGGGCGUAAAGAGCUCGUAGGCGGUCUGUUGCGUCGGCUGUGAAAACCCGGGGCUCAACCCCGGGCCUGCAGCCGAUACGGGCAGACUAGAGUUCGGCAGGGGAGACUGGAAUUCCUGGUGUAGCGGUGAAAUGCGCAGAUAUCAGGAGGAACACCGGUGGCGAAGGCGGGUCUCUGGGCCGAUACUGACGCUGAGGAGCGAAAGCGUGGGGAGCGAAACAGG